ACCAAAUUCUCUGAUACGCUGUCCAGUGCGCUUGUUGCUUCAUCUAGCAGCAGGAUUGAUGGGUUCUUCAGGAUUGCUCGAGCCAGCGCGAUUCUUUGCUUUUGUCCUCCUGAUAGCUGAGCUCCUCUCUCUCCACACUUAACGAUGAAGUCAUGUGCAUUUGCAGCUUUAGCUGCAUUUAUCACUUGCUCCAUUGAAGCUCCAUCUUUUCCAAACAUUAUGUUCUCUUUUAUUGAAGUUGCAAAUAGAACAGGUUCCUGAUUCACCAAACCCAUUUGAGAUCUCAACCAUUUUAGCUGAAAUCUUUUUAUUUUAUGUCCAUCCAAGAGUAUUUCUCCAUCAGUGGGAUCAUAAAAUCUUUCAAGCAGUGAGAUAACUGUAGACUUGCCAGAUCCACUUCCUCCCACCAGCCCUACUCUCUUCCCUGCUGGAACCUUCAGAUUGAAUCCUUGUAAAACAGGUGUAUCUGGUCUUGAUGGAUAGGUAAAAUAUACAUUUUGAAAUUCAAUCUCUCCUUUCACAUGUGAUAGGGCUUUCUCCUUUUUGUCUUCUCUGUCUGUCUCUGCAACACGAUCAAUCAUUUCAAGGAUACGAGAUGUUGCAGAUGUUGCCUCUGUGAUGGAGGUUAGAUGAGGAAGUGCACUCAAUAUACUCCUGAAAAUGUUGAAUUUACAGCGGAAAAAAAUUAGUUGAAGUUCAACAAUGAAUACACAGGAUAUAAAUGUUGAAGAAAACUCACAGUCCUCCCAUGAGAACAUCGAAACCAGCUAUAAAAAUAUUGCCUCCUUUUUCUCCUUUCUCUGUAAUCAAAUAAGUGCCAACCCAAGCUUGAAAACCCCAACCAGCAUAAAUGAUUCCCAUGCUCCCAAGCAUCAAUCCCUUCACAAAACCGGAUUUUAUACCAAAUUCCAUACUUUUUUGGAGUGCUUGGCUGAAUUUUUCUUGUGUUUGAUUUUCUCCUACAUAUGCAUAUACAGUUCUUAUUGAGGAUACCGCUUGCUCUACAAUCCCACCAGCAACACCAUAAGAUUCGAUCAUCUUCAUUAUCAGGUCCAUCAUAAUUUUGCCAAAGACGAGCCCUGGACCAAUGAACAUGGCUGAGAGUGGGAUCACUGCAAAGGUGAAUCUCCAUGAUACUAUAAAGGCAAAUACAUGGCAGAAGAAAAAUGUUGACAUGUAAGCAAGGCAAUCGGGUAUCUGCACAGAGAAAGAAUGAGGUAUAUCAGCAGGAUGGAAUAUGAUUUCACUGAUUAUUUUGAAUUAUUGAUGGCCAUUGGGGUGUUGUAUGGUUCAUAUUUAGAGUUUAUAUAAGUUGGAAGGAAAUUCAUUACUACCAUGGAUGAACUAUUUUUUUGACUUCUUCAACUUUAACAUACUAGAAAAUCUUGUUAACAUACUGGGUUAUAGUCUAAACCGUGCUGAUAUAUAUCUCUAACUUAGUUCCUGGUAACUAAUAGCGUUUUGAAUAAUAUAAUUAUAAAUUUGUCUUCAUCCGUCAACUUAAGCUUUUGGGACAAUCGGCGAUUUAAUAUGAUAUCAAAGACCAUAAAGCCUAGAUGCGUAUUUGAUCCAAUAAAAAAAUUGUGAUUCAAUUCUGAAUGGUGAACCCAAAAGAAUUACCAUCUUAAGGGGACAUGUUUAGAAUCUCAUAUUGGAAAAAUCAAUAGAUCUCACACUCUUUAUAGGAUAGAUUGCCAAUUUUUUUUAAGAUAGAACCUCAUACUAGUUAAUAUGGUAUCUGAGCCAAGUUUAGGAUCUAGUGUUUAUUGUUUCUAUGCACAAAUGUUUGGCACAUACACUUAAGUGUUGGGAAAGAGUGACUCAGAGCAAACCUUUUCGCAUAAUGCAACUUGGAUUGAACUAGCAUCAGAGGAAAUAAGGGAGACAACCUCAUGAGUUGUGGAACCAGUUUGGGUAUCAAAGAAGCUAACUUCUUGUCUAAGCACGGAUUUCAAAUAUUCCAUUCUCAUCCUAGACGUCUGUCUCUCUGCUGUUCUUGCCCAACACAAUCCCUCUGCAAAUUUAAAAUUGUGUAGCUAAUUGAGAAAAACAUUGACUAUAUAGACUAUUACCCUCUUACCCUAUGGAUAUAUUCCAGCAAAUAUGCUCACCCACAAAGGCCGAAAGUCCAACUCCAAUUGCAACGUAUAGUAGACGCAGUGCGAACUGAAACAUGUUAGAUAGCAAGUUAACCAAUUGCUUUACGUACUCUAGAAUCAACAAUCCAUAUAUCUACCGGCAUGUAGCCUGUAGGCUAUGUGAUAGAAAACAGAAGUUCAUAAUUAAUUGCCAUUUCUAGUACUUCUCAGUUUUUCGUUGCCAGGAAGGCAUCACCAUUGUCUAAGAAGGAAAAAUACGGAUAUAAGACACAGAUACAACAUGACACUAGCACAGCGUCGCACCAUAUUUUAGAAAUCUAGGAUAGGUUACGGCAAGGACAUGCUUAUUAAAAUAUACGUAAUUUUUCUAUCAAAAGAAAAUUCAAACUAAAUUGGUUGAUGGACUUGUAUGCUUAAAAAACUUAGCUUGAUCUAUUUCACACUCAAAAUUUAUUAUUUUUGUCAUACAUUUGUCUUUUUAGUCUACUCAAUAAGUAUUAUAUGCAUGUUUAACACAUUUGUUGUAUAUACGUAUCCAACAAGUGUUAAGAGUGUCCAAGUGUCUGAUACAUGUUUAACAUGAACAUGCUAGCCAAACUAAAGCGUUUGUGCUUCUUGGAUGAUUGUAGAAACCAUUUUCUUUUUCUGCCCUAUUUCGGUUUCCUUAUGAUCAAACAAUAUAUGAUAGCAAGUGUAAGCCAUUUGAUUAGUGGGUUGAACAUUACAUUUAGUGAAUGGACAUUAUGUCUAAUGGAUUAUGGAACAUAUUCUUUGUUUCAUUCUCUCGUUAGUUAUUCUCUAUCUUUCUGAAAAUGCUUAGUCGUUGCUCACUUUGCCUCUGUUCUCUCCAUCUGCCUAUAAUUAUUGGUAUAAAUAUUUUUCAUCAUUGUGAUUAUGAUAAAGUUUCCCAUAAGAAAUGAAACUUUACAAAGAGGUGCAAGCCUUACCGUGUCAACCAUAUCAUUUGUCAAGCCACUGUUUUUAUCUCCAUAAGCAUUGAUCACAUCCUUAAGAAUGUACAUCAUGAGAGGGACCUGUAAUCCAUCACCAAUGCUCCCCAGAGUCCCAAAGAACAUCAACAACUUGUCGAUGCUAUCAGCGUAAUGGAAUAUGCUUUUGCCUGCCAUUUUUCUGCUUCUAUGGUCUAGAAGAGGGAGAGAGAAGAGAAACAGAUUUGGAGAUUAUUCAAGGUAUGUAGUAUUUCUAAGCUAGAUAGAAAAACUGGUAGGCUUAAUCUGUUGCGUGAUCUCUUUCAUUUUUUGAUAUAGCCAAUACCGUGUGAGAUAAGAACGACUUUAUAUUUGAGCCUUAGCCGGCAGACAGUGAUUCCUGAAACGUAAUUUUUUUGGUUGUAUUAUUUGUUUGUCUGCAAGCAAUUUCAAGCCCUUGGGUAGACUGAUUCUUCGUUUUGGUUAUUGGAAAACACAAGUGAAUCAGAAAUGUAUUUACAAAAUUCAGAAAAUGAAAGAUUAUUGAUUUGAGAUU